UCCCACGUGAUCUGUCAAAUACUAAUGCAUGAAAAUCCUAACCUCAAAAAAAUCACCCUUUAAGAUAGCAGUUUUCUGUAAUCUAGGAACUAUUUUCCUUGUGAUGGUUUAUGCGUAUCUACUUUAUAUUAGUUUUUAUCUCUUCUUAACUAUGACUGUGUUUUUAUUUUGUACAUCUCCCUCUCUCCCAUAUCUUGCCUUUUUUAACUUACCAAUUUUUCAUAUGAAAUUUGUAAUUCAAUAAGUUUAAGUUCAGUUGAAUAUUUUGUCACUUCUUUCAAUAAUUUCAAAUCUAUUUUUACUAUACAAGAGAAAAUGUAUCAUUUUGUUGAAUGUUUUGUAUUUUUCAUAUUGUACCAUAAAAUUUGUAUAAAAUAAUGCAACGAUAAUAAGUUAUUAUAAAUUAUUUAUUGUAGUUUUUUUUUUUAAAUUAUAAUCACAAAUUGACACAAAAAACGGCGUUUCUAGUUUAAGAUUUUAUGUCCAAGGAACGAACAGUCAGCCUAUUGUUGCUACACAACGGGCAUAACGCCAACUGUCAUCAUAUGAGAGUUUAUCCAAAAGAAUUUCAUACUUUGCAAGGCGUAUUUAAUUAUGUGGCCGCAUCAUCACAGCUGACGGAAUUUGAUAUGUCAAAUCCUUUUUGAAUUCGCCGUUUAAAUUUAAACUUCAAAAUAAAUAUUUUAUAACUUUA